CAUGUACUCGCUCCGUCCGGAAAUACUUGUCAUUAAAAUGGAUAAAGAUAUAUCUAGAACUAAUAUACAUCUAGAUACAUCCAUCUCAAUGACAAGUAUUUUUGAACGGAGGGAGUACUUG
rnacentral:pre_miRNA from 1 species